GACGAACGCUGGCGGCGUGCUUAACACAUGCAAGUCGAACGGAAAGGCCCUGCUUUUGUGGGGUGCUCGAGUGGCGAACGGGUGAGUAACACGUGAGUAACCUGCCCUUGACUUUGGGAUAACUUCAGGAAACUGGGGCUAAUACCGGAUAGGAGCUCCUGCUGCAUGGUGGGGGUUGGAAAGUUUCGACGGUUGGGGAUGGACUCGCGGCUUAUCAGCUUGUUGGUGGGGUAGUGGCUUACCAAGGCUUUGACGGGUAGCCGGCCUGAGAGGGUGACCGGCCACAUUGGGACUGAGAUACGGCCCAGACUCCUACGGGAGGCAGCCGUGGGGAAUAUUGCACAAUGGGCGGAAGCCUGAUGCAGCAACGCCGCGUGCGGGAUGACGGCCUUCGGGUUGUAAACCGCUUUCGCCUGUGACGAAGCGUGAGUGACGGUAAUGGGUAAAGAAGCACCGGCUAACUACGUGCCAGCAGCCGCGGUGAUACGUAGGGUGCGAGCGUUGUCCGGAUUUAUUGGGCGUAAAGGGCUCGUAGGUGGUUGAUCGCGUCGGAAGUGUAAUCUUGGGGCUUAACCCUGAGCGUGCUUUCGAUACGGGUUGACUUGAGGAAGGUAGGGGAGAAUGGAAUUCCUGGUGGAGCGGUGGAAUGCGCAGAUAUCAGGAGGAACACCAGUGGCGAAGGCGGUUCUCUGGGCCUUUCCUGACGCUGAGGAGCGAAAGCGUGGGGAGCGAACAGGCUUAGAUACCCUGGUAGUCCACGCUGUAAACGGUGGGUACUAGGUGUGGGGUCCAUUCCACGGGUUCCGUGCCGUAGCUAACGCUUUAAGUACCCCGCCUGGGGAGUACGGCCGCAAGGCUAAAACUCAAAGGAAUUGACGGGGCCCCGCACAAGCGGCGGAGCAUGCGGAUUAAUUCGAUGCAACGCGUAGAACCUUACCUGGGUUUGACAUGGAUCGGGAGCGCUCAGAGAUGGGUGUGCCUCUUUUGGGGUCGGUUCACAGGUGGUGCAUGGCUGUCGUCAGCUCGUGUCGUGAGAUGUUGGGUUAAGUCCCGCAACGAGCGCAACCCUUGUUCACUGUUGCCAGCACGUUAUGGUGGGGACUCAGUGGAGACCGCCGGGGUCAACUCGGAGGAAGGUGGGGAUGACGUCAAGUCAUCAUGCCCCUUAUGUCCAGGGCUUCACGCAUGCUACAAUGGCUGGUACAGAGAGUGGCGAGCCUGUGAGGGUGAGCGAAUCUCGGAAAGCCGGUCUCAGUUCGGAUUGGGGUCUGCAACUCGACCUCAUGAAGUCGGAGUCGCUAGUAAUCGCAGAUCAGCAACGCUGCGGUGAAUACGUUCCCGGGGCU
rnacentral:rRNA from 1 species